rnacentral:rRNA from 1 species
GAUGAACGCUGGCGGCGUGCCUAAUACAUGCAAGUCGAGCGAACAGAUGAGGAGCUUGCUCCUCUGACGUUAGCGGCGGACGGGUGAGUAACACGUGGAUAACCUCCCUAUAAGACUGGGAUAACUUCGGGAAACCGGAGCUAAUACCGGAUAAUAUAUUGAACCGCAUGGUUCAAUAGUGAAAGACGGUUUUGCUGUCACUUCUAGAUGGAUCCGCGCCGCAUUAGCUAGUUGGUAAGGUAACGGCUUACCAAGGCGACGAUGCGUAGCCGACCUGAGAGGGUGAUAGGCCACACUGGAACUGGGACACGGUCAAGACUCCUACGGGAGGCAGCAGUAGGGAAUCUUACGCAAUGGGCGAAAGCCUGACGGAGCAACGCCGCGUGAGUGAUGAAGGUCUUCGGAUCGUAAAACUCUGUUAUUAGGGAAGAACAAAUGUGUAAGUAAAUAUGCACGUCUUGACGGUACCUAAUCAGAAAGCCACGGCUAACUACGUG